rnacentral:rRNA from 1 species
AGUCGCCGCGGUAAUACGAAAGGGGCUAGCGUUGUUCGGAAUUACUGGGCGUAAAGGGCGCGUAGGCGGCCAUUCAAGUUAGAUGUGAAAGCCCUGGGCUCAACCCCGGAACUGCAUCCGAUACUGCCAUGCUAGAGGAUUGGAGAGGUAGCUGGAAUUCUUGGUGUAGCAGUGAAAUGCGUGGAGAUCAAGAGGAACCCUCGUGGCGAAAGCGAGCUACUGGACAAUAACUGACGCUGAGGCUCGAAGGCCAGGGUAGCGAAAGGGAUUAGAUACCCCGGUAGUCCCUGUCUCUUAUACA